UCUCGGGUGGUCGUCUCGGGUCCUCUGACUCUGCUCAGGAGAAUGAAGAGGAAGAAGUGGAGAAGGAACCUGUGGCUGUUGGAGAAGUAAUGCCUGAAGGAAUGAAAGCUUUGCCUAAGGACGUGCCACCCAAGCUGGAGACUCCCAGAAACCUGUCACCUGUGUUCCUCUCCUUCCUGCAGUCUUGCCUGAACUGGAAUGUGAGGCCCCGAUGGCCCACCAGGCUGCUUCUGCAGCAUCCGUUUUUAGGAAAAUCCAAGAGUCUUGUCGAGAUGGCUCCUCUGAUUGAUGCAGUCAGGAGACCCAGAACAGCGGCACCAGAACCUCUGCUGGCUCCCUCUCUUUCUGGACAAGAGGGGAAAGAAGAGCAAGUAGAGAAGGAAGCUGCAAGUUCCUGAGCAGACAGCACUCGCUCUUUGGGUCUGAAGAUUGUGAGGGCAGGGGCCCUGCCAUGACAUGGUGCUUCAGCCCAGCCACUGACACCUGGAAAAGGGGUUUUGAACUACCAAGUCAAGUCAGGGUCCCUUGCAGGAGACAGGAGACAGGACAAACUGUCCCUUGGGGAUACCUGCCCCUCUGCACAGUUCAAACAUCCUGGCACUGCUGCAGCAACACAACCUGAAGAAGUCUCCUUUCCCGACAUGGAAAUGCCUCCACUGGCAAAGGAGGCACAGAGUAGACAAGGAC